rnacentral:rRNA from 1 species
AUUGAACGCUGGCGGCAGGCCUAACACAUGCAAGUCGAACGAGCGGCGGACGGGUGAGUAAUGUAUGGGGACUGCCCGAUAGAGGGGGAUAACUACUGGAAACGGUAGCUAAUACCGCAUACUAUCGGAUAACCCAUAUGGGAUUAGCUAGUCGGUGAGUUAAUGGCUCACCUAGGCGACGAUCCCUAGCUGGUCUGAGAGGAUGAUCAGCCACACGGGGACUGAGACACGGCCCAGACUCCGACGGAGGCAGCAGUGGGGAAUAUUGCACAAUGGGCGCAAGCCUGAUGCAGCCAUGCCGCGUGUAUGAAGAAGGCCUUAGGGUUGUAAAGUACUUUCAGUAGGGAGGCGUUACCGAAAGAAGAAGCACCGGCUAACUCCGUGCCAGCAGCCGCGGUAAUUC